rnacentral:lncRNA from 1 species
AGUCUUUUUUUACUUUGUAAGAGAUUUGAGACAUAUUUUAUCAAUUUGUAUAUCCUCUACUUUUAAAUGUAUGUGUUGAAGAGGCAUUGGUGUUGCCAUUGAAUUAUAGUAACAUUGAAGUCCACUUAUCUUACUCUUAGAUUGAAAUUUGAAAGGCCAACUAUUACACUUUACAACAAAGUCAAUUGCUUGAUUCAAUGUUUGAGGAUCAGAUAAGUUGAGCAUCAAUUUCUUUACCUCAUAUUAUAAUCUAUAGAAAAAUUUGCUAAUAAGUGCAGUAUCAUUCUACUUGAUAUCAAUUACAAGUUGUAAAAAUUAUGAAGCAUAUAAUGUUAUGAUUUGAUUGCCUUAUUA